GACGAACGCUGGCGGCGUGCUUAACACAUGCAAGUCGAACGCUGAAGCUCAGCUUUUGUUGGGUGGAUGAGUGGCGAACGGGUGAGUAACACGUGAGUAACCUGCCCCCUUCUUUGGGAUAACGCCCGGAAACGGGUGCUAAUACUGGAUAUUCACUGGUCUUCGCAUGGGGGUUGGUGGAAAGGGGUUUUCUGGUGGGGGAUGGGCUCGCGGCCUAUCAGCUUGUUGGUGGGGUGAUGGCCUACCAAGGCUUUGACGGGUAGCCGGCCUGAGAGGGUGACCGGUCACAUUGGGACUGAGAUACGGCCCAGACUCCUACGGGAGGCAGCAGUGGGGAAUAUUGCACAAUGGGCGCAAGCCUGAUGCAGCGACGCCGCGUGAGGGAUGGAGGCCUUCGGGUUGUGAACCUCUUUCGCUCAUGGUCAAGCCGCAACAAUGGUUGUGGUGAGGGUAGUGGGUAAAGAAGCGCCGGCUAACUACGUG
rnacentral:rRNA from 1 species